UUUAUCGGAGAGUUUGAUCCUGGCUCAGGACGAACGCUGGCGGCGUGCCUAAUACAUGCAAGUCGAGCGGACAGAUGGGAGCUUGCUCCCUGAUGUUAGCGGCGGACGGGUGAGUAACACGUGGGUAACCUGCCUGUAAGACUGGGAUAACUCCGGGAAACC
rnacentral:rRNA from 1 species